UACAGAGGUCCCAAGCGUUGUUCGGAUUUACUGGGCGUAAAGGGCGCGUAGGUGGCAGGGUAAGUUUGUUGUGAAAUCUCCGGGCUUAACCCGGAAACUGCAUUGAAUACUAUCCCGCUCGAGGAUUGGAAGGGAGACUGGAAUACUUGGUGUAGCAGUGAAAUGCGUAGAUAUCAAGUGGAACACCAGUGGCGAAGGCGAGUCUCUGGACAAUUCCUGACACUGAGGCACGAAAGCUAGGGGAGCAAACAGG
rnacentral:rRNA from 1 species